UACUCCUAAUUCCGUCUGCACUCUGACACGAACAGAAAGUUCACUCCCAUGGCUGCUUGGUGCUCAUCCUCUGAACACUGACUGCUGGAAGCAAAAGGGACUCUGCAGACGAAGCGAGCUCCACUGCCCUCUGCAAACGGUGCUCUCAGGAGAGCCGUCUCCAUAGCAUCUUCCUGGGCUUUCACACUCACCGCCGAGAUAGAUUGUGGGCUACGAAGGGAUUUUCUGACAAGUCCACACAUGUCUCUGUCUUACAGUGAAUAAAUGUGCAGUGGCCCUCACUGCCUGUUAAAGAUGUGAUCACUUGUGUGUGGUUGAAUGUACCUGCCUUGCAAGAAAAGGAAAUCCUUUUCUUAAACCAGACUUGGGGAGUGAUGUUGCUGGCCAGGAGGAGAAUGGGCAAAUGCAGGUCUGAACACAAUGGAGGAAUCAGCACAUAUUGGCAGCUGGCAUAACAGAAAAUCAAAGUUGAGCCUCUUGUUGACUCAUGAGCUCAAUCCUACGAGGGAAGGAACAGGUUUCCUGCGUUACAGGAUCUUGCUUCCAGCCAUCGAUAGACAUUAUCAUCUACGGAUGUGUGGUUGCAUUUCAUAGCUAUCCUGGGACAUCUGUGGGCUGCACGUUGGACGCAUCUGCAGAAGCUUAAAUGCAACAUGGUGAUUUGAAAGUAAGCUGUGAGAGAAAGAAGACAAACUUCAGAUUUCAAAGACUGCAUUAGUCAAGCGCCGUUCGCAAUUCGGAGGUGGGGCCGGCAGCACUGACACCCGCCUGCGUCUUUAGUCUUUAGUCAUCUACAGGCCUGCGUCUUUAGUCUUUAGUCAUCUACAGGCCUGUGGCUUUAGUCUUUAGUCAUCUACAGGCCUGCGUCUUUAGUCUUUAGUCAUCUAUACGCCUGCGUCUUUAGUCUUUAGUCAUCUACAGGCCUGCGUCUUUAGUCUUUAGUCAUCUAUACGCCUGCGUCUUUAGUCUUUAGUCAUCUACAGGCCUGUGGCUUCAGUCAUCUGGUACUCCCUCCUCUGCUCCUCUCUGCCAGGUGAGUGGCUCGUCUCAUUCCACCACACUUUGGCCCCAAUCUGAGAACACAACCAUUACUUCAGCUUUAAUAAUGCAUUUCUUUCUCCACUCAUAACAAGGCGUUCUUCCCAGUUGUGAUAGCUAUGGUUUUUCUGCUUACCUCAUUGCUUUCCCUGAAAGUUUAAGUGACCCAGCCUGGGGUGAGUGCUUUGGUUAUGUACAGUCACACAUAUCAUUUAUCUUUCCUGGAAUGCAGUCAUCGGAGAAGCUUGAAUAAGCACUGGCUUGUGGUGGAAAGAUUUCUGUUAUGACGUUAUCGCAACAUUUUAUAAGCAUCAUCUGAGAAUUCAUAGGCUGAAUUUUAUUAAAUUAAUCAUCAGAUUAGCAUACACUUAGACAACAAUGAGCCAAGAGUUUGGGGAUGUGGAAAUAACUUAUUCUUUUUCACAUGCAUCAUGUGCUCCAAACCUACCAAGAGUUGCCUAAUUCAUUCUCGGAAUUGGAUUUCUUAGUUGGCUUCAUUUGGCUGUAAAGAUCAGAAUCUCUCCCAAAUUUCCUUGAGAGACAGAGCAUCUCUGUAAUGGAUACAAAUGGUUUAAAACAGUGUGGGACCUGACUGGUCCUGGGGUGGGGUACCUUGUGGCCUCUAAGUGUCUCUCUAGGCCUCUUUCAUCUUCAGGCUUUUUUCUUCCUGCCCACGUGGCCAGCACCAAGAUACAAAACCAGUCCCAACCAUCUGCAAACUGAGGGUGUUCUGUGUGCCAAUCUUGCGGUAUUCGAUGCACACUAACUUGCCCCUCCAGCUGCUGUCAUUGAAGUCUGACUGGCACAUGAAUUGGUAUUCCCUUAAUCCAGACUCACACAUGGGGCAUCAUCUCUUCUUAGAAGUUCAUGCUUUUACUUCCCGGUUAGGAUUACAGAAUGCAAGGGUGUAAUUUGACCAGCUUAUUUUUGGGCUCUGCUACACAGUCAGCCUGUGAGUUGGCUUCCGUUCCCUCAGCUGCAGAGCUCUGGAACAUUCCCCGGCGAGUGUUUGCUUAGCUCAGAACACUGGGGUGAGACUGCUCUAUGCCUGCAAGUGGGAUGGGUUCCUCCAGGAGAAGCUCUAAGAGUGACAAGUACUAUUCAAAGCAGCCACACAAGGAGUGGAAACAGGGUGUUGUGUGUUGAGUAAAGCAACCUGUGAUUUGGGAAGUGCCUUCUAGUCAUUCAUGUGUGAAUGGCAUGCAUUAGGGCGUAGUCACUUCUGGGCUGAAAGACUCAUGACUAUAAUGACAUAAGAGCCUCAGAGUUUAUAUGAGGACGUGCUUUUCCAUGCAUUGUACUAGAGCACCUAUAUGGUGUUAUUUGAGGGUCCUCAAAAGAGAAACUUGUCUCAGAAUCCAUCUCUGUAGCUCUGCCUGCCUUUAACACAAUGUCUUGGGCCAGAGCAGAUGGUUAUCUUGCUGGCAUUUUCACCACUACUCCUAUUUUCCUGCCUCGUUUCUAGCUUCUCAUGACUCCUCCCACACAUCUGCUCCUACACAUCUGAUCAAAAACCUUAGACUUUUUUUUUGCUAAUUUCUACCGCCAUCCAUGUUCCAGAAGACAUUGACCCCACCAACCUGAGUCUACCCAUGCUCUUCAUCAGAACCCUGGAACUAUAAUGUUUAGGCUUCCUGCUUAUUCUCAGCAUCUUGUUUUUAAGGCAGAGUCUCUCUAUAUAUACCCCAGUCUGGCUUUGAACCCAAGGUCCUCUUGCUUCAGCUUCCUGAAUGCUGAGAGUUUUGAAUUUUCUCUCCACUUUAGAUUAUGUUUUUAACAUGCGUUAGUCAAGAUGACAACUGAAUGAGUUCCUGGCUAUGAUUAUAUCUGAAGUCCUAGCAUAGCAUCUGAUACAUGAUAAGAGCCAAUAAAUAUCUAUUCAAAUGAAUAAAAUUACAAUAAAACCA